GACAGAGGGUGCAAACGUUGUUCGGAAUUACUGGGCGUAAAGCGAGUGUAGGCGGUCUCGUAAGUCGGGUGUGAAAGCCCCGGGCUCAACCCGGGAAGUGCACUCGAAACUGCGAGGCUAGAGUAUCGGAGAGGUUGGUGGAAUUCUCGGUGUAGAGGUGAAAUUCGUAGAUAUCGAGAGGAACACCGGUGGCGAAGGCGGCCAACUGGACGAAUACUGACGCUGAGACUCGAAAGCGUGGGGGAGCAAACAGG
rnacentral:rRNA from 1 species